GCCCCCGUAGCUCAGGUGGAUAGAGCAGAGGUUUCCUAAACCUUUGGCCGGGUGUUCGAG
rnacentral:tRNA from 1 species